GAGAUAUGAAAAAGAUGAUGUAAGAGCACAAUUAUAAACAAUCUUACCUAUAACCAUUUCCAGUUACCCCCAAAAAAAAGGGGGGGGGGGGGUUACUGGCCAUGCAUGAUCGGAUCUGAAUGCUACGUAAAGCUCUUUGUACUGGCGAAUUACAGCUUAACAAACACUUUCAGCCAACCUCCCCAUGUUUAUACACAUGAUGAAAGAAUUAUGGGCCGGGCAGUCAGCUUGGUUCCUAAAGAAAAAUGUUAAUAUGGAGAUAGAUAUGCAGGUGAGGAAAAUUAUGCUUCAUUGUUAUUGAAAGUUCUACUGGAAUCAUAGUGAUGAUACAAAGAGAUUGCUGCCCGAGCAAAGCAAGGUGCACUCUUUGACUUUUUGAUUAGAAUUAAAUUAUGUAGUAAUUAGUUUCAGAAUCAUUAAGACGUUCUGUUUUUUGAUAAAUAGUAUCCACUCGAAAGGCUAUUGGUAAUUAAGAGCUUGAUUUCUUUUAAGAUCCUAGUUGCGAAGACGUAAUCUCGAGGCAUUCGAUUUACUCCUAUCCCGUC
rnacentral:lncRNA from 1 species